AACGAACGCUGGCGGCAGGCUUAACACAUGCAAGUCGAACGGGUGCAGCAAUGCAUCAGUGGCAGACGGGUGAGUAACACGUGGGAACCUUCCUAGGGGUACGGAACAACUCAGGGAAACUUGAGCUAAUACCGUAUACGUCCGUGAGGAGAAAGAUUUAUCGCCCUUAGACGGGCCCGUGUCGGAUUAGCUAGUUGGUGGGGUAACGGCCUACCAAGGCGACGAUCCGUAGCUGAUCUUAGAGGAUGAUCAGCCACACUGGGACUGAGACACGGCCCAGACUCCUACGGGAGGCAGCAGUGGGGAAUCUUGGACAAUGGGCGCAAGCCUGAUCCAGCCAUGCCGCGUGAGUGAAGAAGGUCUUCGGAUUGUAAAGCUCUUUUGCCAGGGACGAUAAUGACGGUACCUGGAGAAUAAGCCCCGGCAAACUUCGUGCCAGCAGCCGCGGUAAU
rnacentral:rRNA from 1 species